CAUAUACUCCCUCCGUUCUGAAUUACUUGUCGCGGAAAUGGAUGUAUCUAGACGUAUUUUAGUUCUAGAUACAUCCAUUUCCGAGACAAGUAAUUCCGAACGGAGGGAGUAUAAC
rnacentral:pre_miRNA from 1 species